AUGGACCUCCCCACCCAGUGGGCAUCGUCCAGGUCCAAGCAGCAGCUCCUCCUGCAGGAACCACCUGCCCCCUCCCUCCUGAGCAGUGCCUCCCAGGGUGGGCGGCCAGCAUCGGCUCCCUCCAGCACCUCCACCUACUGGCCCAGCCACCCCAGCUCUCAAACAGCUGCUUCUGUAAACAGUAGGGAUAAAGCACAAAACCAAGUAGGAAGGAGCGUCUCAUCUCCCGAGUGUCUCCCAAACCUUGGAGCUAUGCCCUGUGUCUCAAACACAGCUUGGGAAGGGGAAGUCCUCCAUAAGAAGGGAAGCAAGUGGUGCUGGGCAGCGCCACCUGGGGCACAGAACAAGGCCCAAGCCAGGGGCCCUAGUGCCCAGGACGCACCCAGGGACGACCCAGGGCACAUGGCACCCACGACACACUCGGGACGCACCCAGGGAGCACGGCGCCUAUCACCCAGCCAGGACGCAGUGCCCACGACACACUCAGGACGCCCAUGUACACUACACAGGUGCAGAGCCCACCCUCUGUGGGUACACCUGGGGCGCUUCUCUGUGCUCACCAAGUGGGAGGGGGACACAUUCCUGUGCUCAGACGAGGUCCAGGUGCUGCAUGGCCAGAGGCCCAGGGGCCAGCUUCUGACCUGUGUCCAGGCCUGCAAGUACCAUCCCCAGUCAGACAGAGCCCCUCACAGGGCCUCUGGUGCCCGGGCAGUCUCCGCCCCAGCUCCUGGCCUGCCAGAGAGGCCCGGCCCAGCUCUGUCCCCGGGGCCUCACUUUUCACAUUCUGUCCGAGGGCCAGAUCCCAUAGGCAGGAUUCUUCUCCUGAGCGUGCAGGGCCAGCCGCCCGCACCCGCCCCGCAGGGAGUCUCACUGCGCAGAGGCCCCUGGCGUCCAGCAGCCCCCGGCCAUGACCCCAGGAGCAGGGCCUGGGCUGUCAGCUGGCACAGGGAGAGGACAAAGCACAUCUGCACCGCCUCAGCCAGCUCCCUCCCUCCCCAAGCCUCGGUAUCCCCAUCUGUCUGUCCUUCGGCCACUUACACGCUCAGUCAUCGGUUCAUCUACUAA
rnacentral:lncRNA from 12 species